GCGGAUACACACACGCGUUCUAGAAUAUCGCACGCAUUGAGACCACGUGAUAUUGUACUCGCGAUGCAAAACCAUGUAACACGCGCAUAAACGUAAAGAUUUCUCAAGCGUCGCGCAACUGAUACCUCUCGAUUUUUUCCCACAAUCUUUUCGGUAAAUCCAUCGAUUCUCAAUUCCUUCGAUAGUCUCGUGAUGAACUCGGUAAAAGAUGAGAGGAAUCGAGACUACGUAAAAUAUAUAUAUAUAACUACUAUACAUAACAAUAGGAAUUUAUUUAACGUAAAUGUGAUAACGUAAAUGUGAUACAGAAGUUUAGAACAACGCGUUCCCAAUGUCCUUACAGGUUCGCAUUAUGUCAGUUGAAUGGAGUUUGAACAUAGCUGCAAUAAAAUAACAUCCGUCUCCUAAGCUACAUAGGCUGAAUGGAGUUUGAUUGAAGUGAUCAUCCCCGAGUUCUUCAUCGCCAAAAUCAUCAUCUCUUUUUCCGGCAGACGUCAUAGGACGAACAGGUGGUGCAGGCCCUUUGGUAGAACUAUUCAUAUUCAAUGGAUCAAAUGGUUGACGAUUACUACUAGUAUAACCAGCUCCUCUGACUGCAGUCAUUGGCCUUAGUCCACUAGUAUUAGGACGCAUUGGUAUACCAGUA